AUAUCUCAGUUUUUUCAUACUUUUUGUUGUCUGGUCGUUGAAUAAAAGUUCGUAAAGGAUAAUUUCAAGGGAAUAGUAUUUUCUAUUAGAUUGUAGUGGACUAUGUUAUGUAGUAAAGUUUUUCAUGCCGUGAGAAGCUUCUUAUCUUUCACUUUUCAUUCCUGCUAAAUGGUAUUGCAGUCAAUUGAGGUUUUUUAGAGUGCUAAAUUUAAAUCUUACAACUCAAUAUUACCUUCUAACUUGCAUCUCUAUGGCUACAGAUGAUAUUUGAUGGUAUAAGAACUAUAUUGAUUUGGUCUAGCCUUGUACAUGAUGUAAUGUGUCUUUCUGGACUGCAUGUCUUGUUUGUGUAAUCAGAUGAUUCUCAUUUGAUACAACUACUUUCUUGUGCCAUCAUGUCACCUGCCUCAUUAUCUGUCACUGUUGCUUUCCUUUGCUUGGAAUUGUGUGAGACUUGGUGUAUUUCUCUUAAAUGUCUCGUAUGGCGUAUUGAGAAACUAGAAAAAAAUACAUGUUGCAAGUAGGGUGUGGCUUGUACUAGGCUUUUGAAAUUUUAUUUAAUUGUACUUGGGUAUUUAAAACCACAAGGGACCCGCGGACGCUCGCGCAUGCAUUUACUCAGAUCCUUUGGGACACAAAAUCAUAUUGAUAAAAGUCUUCCCUCUCCGAAUGUUUCUUAUUGUCCCACAUCAAACUUCAUCCCCUUUGGGUGUACGGUCAGUCUUCAGCCUUGUGUGAGAACAAACACCAAGCAGUUGACUCUUUGAAUUGUCCAUUCUAUAUGUUCAUGAGAUGAGUUGCUCUUUUGUUGUUAAGGAGGGAAGGUCAUACUACUCACCUGUGUUACUUCGACACCCUCUUCCACCUUGGGUGUUGCGUGUCUACUCGACACGACAUGCAACACGACGCUCGACACGCCUGGAAGAAGUGUCCGAGUUGGGUAUCAGAAAAGUAUCGGAAGAGAGGUGUCUAAAUCACCCGAUGAGAAGAGAAAAAGAGAAUAAAGAAAAACGCAUUGAAAUUGCAAAGGAGAAAUUACGGAUCUAGGGCUUGGAUGACAAACCCUAGAUGUGAAAUUGGAAAGAGAGGAGACCGAGCUUAGGAAAAUUAACAUGGGGAUUUUGCUUUUCGAUCAAUUUUAAACUGGAAGGAGGAUUCCAUUGUUAUGAUGCGAAGAAUGUGAUUGACACACGGAGGGAGAAAGAAGAGAACCGAAGAAGAUGAAAGACAGAGAUAGAAGGUGAAAGGGUGGAAGGGCAAAACGUGGAAAUGGUUGUUCUGACAAAAAAAAUACUACUAAAACUUGGAAUGUUAUAAAGAAAAGCAAAACAAAUAAAAGCAAAAUAAAUACUUAUUAAAUGUACAGUUGACUAUUGAAAGUUGGAACUAGUGUGUAAACAUGGCCCUCAUUUACUCUUUUACUUAUUGAACCAUAAUAAUUUUCAAGGUAAAAUUUUAAAUUCUACCUACAUUUUUACAAUUUUACAACUUUUUUUUUUUUACAGAAAAAAGGUGUGUGGAUUUUUUUCCGACACUUAUCCGAUAUCCAUGUCUAUAAAACUGGCCAAGACACUCUUUUGAUCGUAUCCCCGUAUCGGCCAUACUUUUGGAGUAGAGUGUCGGAUCCUCCGAUCCCUACUUGGAUACGACACCCGUAUCCGUGUCGGAGUAACAUAGCUACUAACGUUGACCUUCUUAGGUCAUGCCUUCUUUAAAAUACAUUUGGUAAGCACCUAUCUAAUUUAUUUUUUGUACCAUGAACUGGUUGAGACCUCGUUUGCGGUUCCUGACAAGUUGAGGCUGUUUUAUAGAAGUUAGGAAUUAGUCUUGGUACCAGACAUAACUUUGUUUAGCUUCCUUCUAAUUAAUGUAUAAGACUACAACAAAAAAACAACAUUCGUUGCUGCAGGGGGGUCGGACAUACGCAACCAUACCCUUGUAACAACAAAUCUAAUUGACCCUUGAUUUUAAAACACCGUUUGCAGCUUCACAUAUAUAAGAAGUGCACAAGGUUUAAUGAGGUUUAAUUAAUGUAUUAGACUAUAUGUACAAAAGUGUUCCCCACGCUAAUCGAAAAUCAAGUAGUUAAGUUUUUCUUUUGCUUAAACUCUUACUUCCAUCAUGCAUUUCACAUAAAGUUGAUUAAGGAAAUGCUAUGAACUGAUAUUUUAGGGGAGGGUAAUUUAGGUAUUAUCGUAAUUAGUAGCUUGGGGAAUAAGCUAGGUAGUUGUGCUAGGGUAAUUACACUAUAUAUAGGGAUAAUUAGAGAGAGAAGGACAUGUUGAAAAUUGUUAAGGAAAAAUUGGGUGAGUUCUUGUAGUUCAUUUGGGAGAGAAUCAAGCCUCUCGAAAGCUUGAAUAUCGGUUACUUUUGCUGUUUUUACUAUUAAUAUUCAAUCAAAGCUCAUCUUCUCCUUUAAUCUCUCUAUUUUACUAUUAUAAUCAGUCCAAGCUAUGUUAAUUCAUAGCAACUCAACCCAGUUCUACCUAAUCAACCCAACCUAGUUCUAGAUGUCAACACUCCUAACUUCAUGCUCAGACCAACUAGUGUGGAACACCUUUCUGGGCCACCAUACUUAAAUCUCAGCCCAAUCAUCUUUAAGCCCAUUCCCUUUCCCAACUUGUCCAGUCCACAAAGUCCCAACUUUCUGAUUUUUCUUCCACAUCUAAAUUCACUCUAGAAAAAAUUUCUACAACCAAACCAUUCAACACUGCUCUUACUUUCCUCAACCCACCCCCUUUCCAUCUUACCUCUGAAAAUCCCAAUUUCAACCACUCUUUACUUCUACCCCUUGACAACUUCAAGGCUGACUUUUUCUUAGCUACACCACCAGAGGAAGAACAAGGACUCCAAAAUGAAGAGCUUGAACGCCAGUGGAAGCCGGGCAUCAAUUCUCACACGGACAUUGCUAAUUGUUGCCAAGGCCGGGAAUUUCGUUCUAAUUACUAUCCACCUUGAGGACAAGGUGGAAGUUUGGGGGGCCGGUAAUACUAUGAACUCAUAUUUUAGGGGAGGGUAAUUUAGGUAUUAUCGUAAUUAGUAGCUUGGUGAAUAAGCUAGGUAGUUGUGCUAGGGUAAUUACACUAUAUAUAGGGAUAAUUAGAGAGAGAAGAACAUGUUGAAAAUUGUUAAGGAAAAAUUAGGUGAGCUCUUGUAGUUCAUUUGGGAGAGAAUCAAGCCUCUCGAAAGCUUGAAUAUCGAAUGAAGAGAGUAGACUAGAGGAAUCCCUGUACAGAGCUUUAGCAGAAAUGUCAUUGGUAAAGCAAUGCCAGGACAGAUCUUUGUUAAUGCUUGUUCACAGUUUGCAAUCCCACAGAGAUGGUAUGUCAGACAGCAAAUACAAUUCAAAUAUCGGAAGUAUUUAUCUUCUUUCUAAAUACCAGCAAAUGUUUCUUCAGUUCUAAUGGCAUCACUUCCACGCCAGUUUCCUGUGACUUGGCAACUUGACCUUGAAGAUGAUGAAGUCUCUGCCCUUUUACUUCCCAUCUCAUUUGCUAGGACGCUCGUAUAUUUCCGGCAUUGACCAAGGUGUUUGCCGGCGUUGACCGACAUUGACCGGUGGUGACCAAUCAAGAAGAAUCAACUCCGAUGUCAUGGCAAACAAUCUUCUGAACAAAUCGGACUAUGACAUUGACUCGGAGAUAGGAACACUAGAACUCCUCAAGGUCAGUGGUUGUAUGUUAUUUGAUGAUCAGAGCAGGUUCAUUGUCAACGGUGGAUAUAAGUGUCCAAUAGUAUGUCUUCAGUUGAUAUUGUUGAUGUUUAUGUUUUGUCCUUUUCGUGCCAGACACAAUUUGGGGAGAGUAGCAUGGAGAAAUGUGAUAUUAUGCUUAAUGAUCUACUUGAUUCCAAGAGAACUAACAGCAAUAUUCAAAAAAACAACUUUUACCAAAGACAUCUCAAUCAGUUACCCCUGCAAUUCUUCUCUUUUGCAAGAAUUGGAAUAACUUGCUUGUAGGGGGUGAAGUGGUAAACACUGAGUUUUCACUGGAUGUUCUUGAUGCUACGAUAAUAUCAUCAAAUUUUUGGCCUCCAAUCCAGGUAUGCCUUUUUGCUUCAAUGGCUACUAAUAUACCUUGUAAGUACUGAGAUGAGUUUAGCCAGAUAAUGGAUAUUUCCAAUCUUGCCUCUAAUUUAUGGUUUUAAGCAACAUACUAAAAUAAGAAGGGGACAAUUAUUAUUUUUAUAGCUUUGAUGGACUUGAGCAUGCAGGUUGUCUAUUCUACAAUGUGAUUGACCUGUCAGGGGACUAUUAGAGGAGCAUCAGACCAGAGAAGUGAGCCAUGUUGAGAGUCAAAGUUUAAAUCCAGAGUAGUAUUAAUUAGUAAUUGGAUCACUAUAAAAAGGUAAUAUAAUAUCCAUAGUUGAAAUUAGUAUUGUUCUUAAAUUAUCCAUAGUUGAGAUUAUUGUGAAAAGGCUGGUCGAAAUUGGGAUUAGCCCUUUUGAAAAUUUAGCCUGAUUGUGUGCAACUCUUUGCCGAGAUGGAUGGUUUAUGGUUUUGGAUGGCAGAACUCGCAAAGGAUGCCUUGCCAGUUCAUUGGUGGUCAUACUAUUGGACCCAAGGAUUCUUGGUGGUCAUAAAAAACGUAUUUGUCAUUUUCGAUGUAUUAUAAUUUCGUCUGUGUUUUUUAGGUGAAGCCGGUUCUAAGCAUAAAUUCAUUGGUUGCACUUGCAAUAUCUUUGUUCAUAUGUGUGGCCCUCCUAAUUAACUAUGGAGAAUGCCAAAAGGAACUCCGAAAUCAUCCUUUGAUGCUGUAGAUUGGGUUGUAGCUGGAGUAUACAAUGAUGAUUCUGCUAGAAUAUUCGAGCCAAAUGCAUUCUGUGGUGAACCUGGUCUGGUCCCUCGAUGACUGCAAGCCUGUAGCAAUGUAUUAGAACAUUUGUAGUGAACAUGCCCAUGUACCUUUUUUUACAUAAAAAAAAUGGUAUUGUAUAUUAUUAA